GAUACCUAGUGUGAAUUGCAGAAUUCCGCGAAUCAUCGAGUUUUUGAACGCAUAUUGCGCCCGAGGCUCACGCCGAGGGCACGUCUGCCUGAGCGUCA
rnacentral:rRNA from 1 species